rnacentral:sRNA from 1 species
AAAGACAUAACCAAAAC